rnacentral:rRNA from 1 species
UAAACGACUCUCGGCAACGGAUAUCUUGGCUCACGCAUCGAUGAAGAACGUAGCAAAAUGCGAUACUUGGUGUGAAUUGCAGAAUCCCGUGAACCAUCGAGUUUUUGAACGCAAGUUGCGCCCGAAGCCUUUUGGUUGAGGGCACGUCUGCCUGGGUGUCACAU